GAUGAACGCUGGCGGCGUGCUUAACACAUGCAAGUCGAACGGUGAAGCAGAGCUUGCUCUGUGGAUCAGUGGCGAACGGGUGAGUAACACGUGAGCAACCUGCCCCGGACUCUGGGAUAAGCGCUGGAAACGGCGUCUAAUACCGGAUACGAGAUUCCACCGCAUGGUGAGUUUCUGGAAAGAUUUUUUGGUCUGGGAUGGGCUCACGGCCUAUCAGCUUGGUGGUGAGGUAAUGGCUCACCAAGGCGUCGACGGGUAGCCGGCCUGAGAGGGUGACCGGCCACACUGGGACUGAGACACGGCCCAGACUCCUACGGGAGGCAGCAGUGGGGAAUAUUGCACAAUGGGCGGAAGCCUGAUGCAGCAACGCCGCGUGAGGGAUGACGGCCUUCGGGUUGUAAACCUCUUUUAGCAGGGAAGAAGCGAAAGUGACGGUACCUGCAGAAAAAGCGCCGGCUAACUACGUGCCAGCCGCCGCGGUAA
rnacentral:rRNA from 1 species